rnacentral:rRNA from 1 species
AUUGAACGCUGGCGGCAGGCCUAACACAUGCAAGUCGAACGGUAACAGGAAGAAGCUUGCUUCUUUGCUGACGAGUGGCGGACGGGUGAGUAAUGUCUGGGAAACUGCCUGAUGGAGGGGGAUAACUACUGGAAACGGUAGCUAAUACCGCAUAACGUCGCAAGACCAAAGAGGGGGACCUUCGGGCCUCUUGCCAUCGGAUGUGCCCAGAUGGGAUUAGCUAGUAGGUGGGGUAACGGCUCACCUAGGCGACGAUCCCUAGCUGGUCUGAGAGGAUGACCGGCCACACGGGAACUGAGACACGGUCCAGACUCCUACGGGAGGCAGCAGUGGGGAAUAUUGCACAAUGGGCGCAAGCCUGAUGCAGCCAGGCCGCGUGUAUGAAGAAGGCCUUCGGGUUGUAAAGUACUUUCAGCGGGGAGGAAGGGAGUAAAGUUAAUACCUUUGCUCAUUGACGGUACCCGCAGAAGAAGCACCGGCUAACUCCGUG